rnacentral:rRNA from 1 species
CAGAGGUGCCAAGCGUUAGGCGGAAUCACUGGGCUUAAAGCGUGUGUAGGCGGACUCGUAAGUACCUUGUGAAAUCCCACAGCUCAACUGUGGAACUGCUCGGUAUACUGCUUGUCUUGAGCCACUUAGGGGCUGUCGGAACAAACGGUGGAGCGGUGAAAUGCGUAGAUAUCGUUUGGAACGCCAACGGUGAAAACAGACAGCUGGGAGUGUGCUGACGCUGAGACACGAAAGCCAGGGGAGCGAACGGGAUUAGAUACCCCGGUAGUCCUGGCCCUAAACGAUGUCGACUAGAUCGUAGUGCCUCUGACGGUAUUACGGUCGAAGCAAAAGUGCUAAGUCGACCGCCUGGGAAGUACGGUCGCAAGGCUA